rnacentral:rRNA from 1 species
GCCCUCACCUUAAACCAGGUAUUGAAGGUGAUGCCUGCCCGGUGACAUGCUUGUUCAACGGCCGCGGUAUCCUAACCGUGCAAAGGUAGCGCAAUCAAUUGUCCCAUAAAUCGAGACUAGUAUGAAUGGCUAAACGAGGUCUUAACUGUCUCUUACAGGCAAUCGGUGAAAUUGAUCUCCCUGUACAAAAGCAGGGAUAAACACAUAAGACGAGAAGACCCUGUGGAACUUCAAAACCAGCAACCACCUUAUAACACAUACCCACCCACCGGGCUCACUGACAUAUAAGCCACUGGUCUGCGUUUUUCGGUUGGGGCGACCUUGGAGCAAAACAAAACCUCCAAAAAUUAGACCACAUCUCUAGACCAAGAGCAACCUCUCGACGUGCUAACAGUACCCAGACCCAAUAUAAUUGAUCAAUGGACCAAGCUACCCCAGGGAUAACAGCGCAAUCUCCUCCGAGAGUCCAUAUCGACGGGGAGGUUUACGACCUCGAUGUUGGAUCAGGACAUCCUAGUGGUGCAGCCGCUACUAAGGGUUCGUUUGUUCAACGAUUAACAGUCCUACGUGAUCUGAGUUCAGACCGGA